rnacentral:rRNA from 1 species
AACGCGAAGAACCUUACCAUCCUUUGACAUGGCGUGUUGCCCAGAGAGAUUUGGGGUCCACUUCGGUGGCGCGCACACAGGUGCUGCAUGGCUGUCGUCAGCUCGUGUCGUGAGAUGUUGGGUUAAGUCCCGCAACGAGCGCAACCCACGUCCUUAGUUGCCAUCAUUCAGUUGGGCACUCUAGGGAGACUGCCGGUGAUAAGCCGCGAGGAAGGUGUGGAUGACGUCAAGUCCUCAUGGCCCUUACGGGAUGGGCUACACACGUGCUACAAUGGCGGUGACAGUGGGAGGCGAAGGAGCGAUCUGGAGCAAAUCCCCAAAAGCCGUCUCAGUUCGGAUUGCGCUCUGCAACUCGAGUGCAUGAAGGCGGAAUCGCUAGUAAUCGUGAUCAGCAUGACA